UACAGAGGUCUCAAGCGUUAUCCGGAAUUAUUGGGCGUAAAGCGCGCGCAGGUGGUUUCUUAAGUCUGAUGUGAAAGCCCACGGCUCAACCGUGGAGGGUCAUUGGAAACUGGGAGACUUGAGUGCAGAAGAGGAAAGUGGAAUUCCAUGUGUAGCGGUGAAAUGCGUAGAGAUAUGGAGGAACACCAGUGGCGAAGGCGACUUUCUGGUCUGUAACUGACACUGAGGCGCGAAAGCGUGGGGAGCAAACAGG
rnacentral:rRNA from 1 species